rnacentral:rRNA from 1 species
GACGAACGCUGGCGGCGUGCCUAAUACAUGCAAGUAGAACGCUGAAGAGAGGAGCUUACUCUUCUUGGAUGAGUUGCGAACGGGUGAGUAACGCGUAGGUAACCUGCCUUGUAGCGGGGGAUAACUAUUGGAAACGAUAGCUAAUACCGCAUAACAAUGGAUGACACAUGUCAUUUAUUUGAAAGGGGCAAUUGCUCCACUACAAGAUGGACCUGCGUUGUAUUAGCUAGUAGGUGAGGUAAUGGCUCACCUAGGCGACGAUACAUAGCCGACCUGAGAGGGUGAUCGGCCACACUGGGACUGAGACCCGGCCCAGACUCCUACGGGAGGCAGCAGUAGGGAAUCUUCGGCAAUGGGGGCAACCCUGACCGAGCAACGCCGCGUGAGUGAAGAAGGUUUUCGGAUCGUAAAGCUCUGUUGUAAGUCAAGAACGGGUGUGAGAGUGGAAAGUUCACACUGUGACGGUAGCUUACCAGAAAGGGACGGCUAACUACGUG